rnacentral:rRNA from 1 species
UACAGAGGUCUCAAGCGCUGUUCGGAUUCAUUGGGCGUAAAGGGUGCGUAGGCGGCGCGGUAAGUCGGGUGUGAAAUCUCGGAGCUUAACUCUGAAACUGCAUUCGAUACUGCCGUGCUUGAGGACUGGAGAGGAGACUGGAAUUUACGGUGUAGCGGUGAAAUGCGUAGAUAUCGUAAGGAAGACCAGUGGCGAAGGCGGGUCUCUGGACAGUUCCUGACGCUGAGGCACGAAGGUCAGGGGAGCAAACGGG